CCUACGGGUGGCUGCAGUCGAGAAUCUUCCGCAAUGGGCGAAAGCCUGACGGAGCGAUGCCGCGUGCGGGAUGAAGGCCUUCGGGUUGUAAACCGCUGUCGGAGGGGAGCAAAUUUGAGCGAUCCUCGGAGGAAGCACAGGCUAAAUUCGUGCCAGCAGCCGCGGUAAUACGAAUUGUGCAAACGUUAUUCGGAAUCACUGGGCUUAAAGGGUGCGUAGGCUGCUAUGAAGGUCUGGUGUGAAAUCCAACGGCUCAACCGUUGAAUUGCAUUGGA
rnacentral:rRNA from 1 species